ACAAAACGAAACAAUUACAUAACACAUAAUCAAUCCUUAAACAACAGCUUUUUUAUUAUGACGAACUCCUUACAAUAACUCCUUCAAACAUAGGAGCAAUACAAAAAAUGCAUUUGAUGUAUAAGAGACAUUAAAUAUUAAGAAAGCAUAUAUAAUUAAAAGCACCUAAAUAAGCUAUAGAACUUAAAUGAGAGAAUAAGACAUUGAAAAACACUAAUAUAUAAGAUUAUCACAUAGUAUACUUUCCUAAAAUUAUUACAAAUAAUCUUGACCUAGAAUGUCUAACUUCUUGGACUUGCAAGGUCAAGAAAAUUUGAAAAUAAUUUAUAAAGUUGAAAAAAAUAAAAAGAAGAUAUAAGAAGAAUAAGCUCAGGAGAGAUAUCGCCAUGACAAUCACCACACUUCCCUUUGUUCUUGAAUAUUGUAACCAUCAUCUUGAGGUGCCAUGAUAGAGAAGAACAUUGUGGCCAUUUCUUGUAUGAAACAGUACUGCAUGGUGAAAUCCUAGAAACUGGUUGAGGAAGUUUAAGUGAGGGAGAGAGGGUUAUAGUUGCAUGAAUGAAUGAAAUGUGUGGGAAUGAGUAGAAGAAUAUUGGAACUAUAUAUAUAAUGAAAACUCAAGAAGAUUGUGAGGAACUCUUGUGAGCCAUAUGAGAGAUGUAAAAAAUGAGAGGGAAGGUGUGGAAAUAAAAAUGGAAAAAAU
rnacentral:lncRNA from 1 species